UGCGUAGGCGGUUCUUUAAGUUUGGUGUGAAAUCUCCCGGCUCAACUGGGAGGGUGCGCCGGAAACUGAAGGGCUCGAGUGCGGGAGGGGAGAGUGGAAUUCCUGGUGUAGCGGUGAAAUGCGUAGAUAUCAGGAGGAACACCUGUGGUGCAAACGGCUCUCUGGACCGUAACUGACGCUGAGGCACGAAAGCGUGGGGAGCAAACAGGAUUAGAUACCCUGGUAGUCCACGCCCUAAACGAUGCACGUUUGGUGUGGGUGAUUCAGUUCAUCCGUGCCGGAGCUAACGCGUUAAACGUGCCGCCUGGGGAGUACAGUCGCAAGGCUGAA
rnacentral:rRNA from 1 species